rnacentral:rRNA from 1 species
UACGUAGGGGGCAAGUGUUGUCCGGAUUUACUGGGCGUAAAGAGCGUGUAGGCGGCCAAGCAGGUCCGUUGUGAAAACUGGAGGCUUAACCUCCAGACGUCGACGGAAACCGCGUGGCUAGAGUCCGGAAGAGGAGAGUGGAAUUCCUGGUGUAGCGGUGAAAUGCGCAGAUAUCAGGAAGAACACCAAUGGCGAAGGCAGCUCUCUGGGACGGUACUGACGCUGAGACGCGAAAGCGUGGGGAGCGAACAGG